UACAGAGGUCUCAAGCGUUGUUCGGAUUCAUUGGGCGUAAAGGGUUCGUAGGCGGUGUAGCAAGUCGGGAGUGAAAUCUCUGGGCUUAACCCAGAGGCUGCUUCCGAAACUGCUGUGCUUGAGUGUGGGAGAGGCGCGUGGAAUUGCAGGUGUAGCGGUGAAAUGCGUAGAUAUCUGCAGGAACACCCGUGGCGAAAGCGGCGCGCUGGACCACUACUGACGCUGAGGAACGAAAGCUAGGGGAGCAAACAGG
rnacentral:rRNA from 1 species